ACCUGCGGAGGGAUCAUUACACAAUAAAAUACGAAGGCCGUUCGCGGCUGGACUAUUUAUUACCCUUGUCUUUUGCGCACUUGUUGUUUCCUGGGCGGGUUCGCUCGCCACCAGGACCACAAUAUAAACCUUUUUUAUGCAGUUGCAAUCAGCGUCAGUAUAACAAAUGUAAAUCAUUUACAACUUUCAACAACGGAUCUCUUGGUUCUGGCAUCGAUGAAGAACGCAGCGAAAUGCGAUACGUAGUGUGAAUUGCAGAAUUCAGUGAAUCAUCGAAUCUUUGAACGCACAUUGCGCCCUUUGGUAUUCCAAAGGGCAUGCCUGUUCGAGCGUCAUUUGUACCCUCAAGCUUUGCUUGGUGUUGGGCGUUUUUGUCUUUGGCCCGCCAAAGACUCGCCUUAAAAUGAUUGGCAGCCGGCCUACUGGUUUCGCAGCGCAGCACAUUUUUGCGCUUGCAAUCAGCAAAAGAGGACGGCAAUCCAUCAAGACUCCUUCUCACGUUUGACCUCGGAUCAGGUAGGGAUACCCGCUGAA
rnacentral:sRNA from 1 species